UCAGGCCUAACACAUGCAAGUCGAACGGUAACGCGGGGCAACCUGGCGACGAGUGGCGAACGGGUGAGUAAUACAUCGGAACGUGCCCAGUAGUGGGGGAUAGCCCGGCGAAAGCCGGAUUAAUACCGCAUACGGCCUACGGGUGAAAGCGGGGGAUCGCAAGACCUCGCGCUAUUGGAGCGGCCGAUGUCAGAUUAGCUAGUUGGUGGGGUAAAGGCCUACCAAGGCGACGAUCUGUAGCUGGUCUGAGAGGACGACCAGCCACACUGGGACUGAGACACGGGCCAGACUCCUACGGGAGGCAGCAGUGGGGAAUUUUGGACAAUGGGGGCAACCCUGAUCCAGCCAUGCCGCGUGCGGGAAGAAGGCCUUCGGGUUGUAAACCGCUUUUGUCGGGGAAGAAACGGUCUGCGCUAAUACCGCGGA
rnacentral:rRNA from 1 species